AUGCAGAUAUAAUGAAUCGAAAAAUGGCGAUGAAUGAAGGAAAGAGUGUGCAGGAAAAAAAUAAUGUAGACUGUCUAUCGGUACGAGCACAUUAUUCUACUCUUUGUUAAAAACACGUUUUAGAGAAAUGUCUGUUUUUUUUUAAUUUUGAGAGAGCUUUGUACUUAUGACAUGGAGAAUGUUGUUUUCUUCAAUUUAUAAAAACUUUUUUAUUCUUCAAACUAUUUUUUAAUUAGUAAACGACACGCAAAGAAAUUUUUUGCAUGAAACAUCGAUUUUGCAUAAAUCUAUGAAAACUAAAAUUUCGAAAUUUGUUGUCAAGGUGAUUUUGUUUGUUUCAUGAUGCCUUCACAUCAAAUCGGCUUCGAUAUUUCACCAUAGAUUACCCAAAAUUUCGAACAGCUUGGUGGUGUACUUCAAAUACUCGUGGAUGAACUAUUGUGACUCAUAAAUUACGCUUAUAUAGCGACGAAAAUUGCUAUCUGAUAUAUUUUUUAUGGGGCUCUUAAAUGGAAAUGUACUCUAUCUACGACUUUUAAUAACGAGUUUGGAGCUGGUAAAAUAUCUGAACUUCUUGGAAAUCUACUGAAAAUGCACUGGAAUGUAAACACGCAAGGCCACAUGAGUAAUUUCUGUUGGGUUUGGACGUAUGACGCAACCUAAUGCAACUAAAGCGCUAAGAGUGCUGUCCUUGCGCUGUCUGUCACGCUUGACUGAGCACAGCUUCUCUGGGCCCCGCUGCUUCCCUGAUCAAGAAAAUGUGGAGGAAAACAAUUUUAGGAAUUCACAAACCCAGUUUACGGAAAUGCAGGUCUCAGUGUAUUGAUAGAUAAACUCUUUGGACCCAUCAACUUUGUUACAGGCUCGGUUAAACCGCAACUACAAUCAGAACAAACAAACUCCUGAGUUUCUUGACUUCCGACUUAAUUCUCUGGAAUGGGGAGUGCCUCAGCUAAAAAAAAAUGAGAAUUUUUACCAUCUGUUUGUCAUCCCAUCUUUCUCAUAAUUUUUCAGUUGUUAUUAU